GACGUAGGGCGCGAGCGUUGUCCGGAUUUAUUGGGCGUAAAGAGCUCGUAGGCGGCUUGUCGCGUCGACUGUGAAAACCCGCGGCUCAACCGUGUGGCUUGCAGUUGAUACGGGCAGGCUAGAGUUCGGUAGGGGAGACUGGAAUUCCUGGUGUAGCGGUGAAAUGCGUAGAUAUCAAGAGGAACACCUGCGGCGAAGGCGGGUUGCUGGGCCGACACUGACGCUGAGGCGCGAAAGCCAGGGGAGCGAACGGG
rnacentral:rRNA from 1 species